CAGGCACAGGGCAGCUCCUCAAUUCCUGCCCAGGCAGCCACGGCCUCUUGGUCUCCCGUGGCAUGGAACAGCUUCUCCUUCAGCAAAGAAUGAAAGAUUUCUGUGUCCUUCCUGCCAGGAUAUCGGGAUUUCCAAGGGGGUUUAAUGGGCUGUGACGUUCCCGUUCUGAUCCAGGUGAUCGGAGAGUUUAAUCUGCACUUCACUGUGGGAAUUUCUCCUCGGAGCAGACACCUCUCACCAAAAGUUUAUUUUUCACAGUUUACUCAUUUAUGAGGGACUUCCACCCUGCAGCCAGCACUGCUUUGAGCUCCUGGAAAUUGUGUCCUGUUUUUCACCCAGAGCCAGGAUGGAAUUCUCAGG
rnacentral:lncRNA from 1 species